UACGUAGGGUGCAAGCGUUGUCCGGAAUUAUUGGGCGUAAAGAGCUCGUAGGCGGUCUGUUGCGUCGGCUGUGAAAACCCGGGGCUCAACCCCGGGCCUGCAGCCGAUACGGGCAGACUAGAGUUCGGCAGGGGAGACUGGAAUUCCUGGUGUAGCGGUGAAAUGCGCAGAUAUCAGGAGGAACACCGGUGGCGAAGGCGGAUCUCUGGGCCAUUACUGACGCUGAGGAGCGAAAGCGUGGGGAGCGAACAGG
rnacentral:rRNA from 1 species